AGAGAAUAUAUCAUGUUUGGGACUUCACUUGUCAUUUGCAGUUGUAGAAGCAGCAUCAGUGUUGGCAUCUUUAGUUUCUAUAAAAGAAGAAAGCUCGGGUAUUUCAAGCUGUUCAAUUAUAGGACUAACUCCACAAAACAUUUUCUCAUCAUUGUGAUUUUUUCCAUUAUUACUUUGAGCUUUCUUCAUUUUCUUCAUUGAAUCAUGUAUGGCACCGUAGAUAGCACGACAAGGAUUGGUAACAUUGCUCCUCAAUAUGAGAAACAUAGAUAGCUCAGAUAUUUGCCAAAUGAUGGUUACACCAAUCAAUGCAGUGAUAAGGUAUUGUGUGAACAUAUUCUGUUUCUUCAUCUUUUCCAUUUCUUCUAAAAUCUCACCCUUCGAAUCUUCUUCUUCCUCAGCCAUACUGCCGCCUUGUUCUUUUGGCAGUUCACCACUACUCCUGUCACAAUUUCCAUCUUUCUGCAAUUCUUCCAGCUGUUGGGUACAAAACAAUUAAUGUUGUAGGUAGUUGGAAGGAGAGAGUAAGAGGGG
rnacentral:lncRNA from 1 species